GACAGAGGGUGCAAACGUUGUUCGGAAUUACUGGGCGUAAAGCGCGUGUAGGCGGUUCGGUAAGUCGGAUGUGAAAGCCCCGGGCUCAACCCGGGAAGUGCACUCGAUACUGCCGAGCUAGAGUAUCGGAGAGGUUGGUGGAAUUCUCGGUGUAGAGGUGAAAUUCGUAGAUAUCGAGAGGAACACCGGUGGCGAAGGCGGCCAACUGGACGAAUACUGACGCUGAGACUCGAAAGCGUGGGUAGCAAACAGG
rnacentral:rRNA from 1 species